rnacentral:tRNA from 1 species
GCCGCCGACCUGGGAAGACACCGGAAGUGGCGACGGCCUCCGGAGCCGUGUGCGCAGGUUCGAAUCCUGCCGGGGGCA